rnacentral:rRNA from 1 species
GGUUGAUCCUGCCAGUAGUCAUAUGCUUGUCUCAAAGAUUAAGCCAUGCAUGUCUAAGUAUAAAUGAUUUUAUACCGUGAAACUGCGAAUGGCUCAUUAAAUCAGUAAUAGUUUAUUUGAACGUUACUUUUUUUCUAUAUUUUUUUAAUUUUUUUUUUAAAAAGAAAAAAAUUAAAAAAAUUAGAAAAACUACUUGGAUAACCGUAGUAAUUCUAGAGCUAAUACAUGCUAAAAGAAAAAAAUUUUUUUUUUUUUUUU